rnacentral:rRNA from 1 species
CGAAGGGGCUAGCGUUGCUCGGAAUCACUGGGCGUAAAGCGCACGUAGGCGGAUCUUUAAGUCAGGGGUGAAAUCCCGGAGCUCAACUCCGGAACUGCCUUUGAUACUGGGGAUCUUGAGUCCGGGAGAGGUGAGUGGAACUCCGAGUGUAGAGGUGAAAUUCGUAGAUAUUCGGAAGAACACCAGUGGCGAAGGCGGCUCACUGGCCCGGUACUGACGCUGAGGUGCGAAAGCGUGGGGAGCAAACAGGAUU